AUUGAACGCUGGCGGAAGGGGGUACACAUGCGAGUCGAACGGUAACAGGCCUUCGGGUGCUGACGAGUGGCGAACGGGUGCGUAAUGCAUCGGAACGUACCCAGAGGUGGGGGAUAACGCAGCGAAAGCUGUGCUAAUACCGCAUGUGAUCUGAGGAUGAAAGCGGGGGACCGAGCAGCAAUGUUUGGCCUCGCGCCUUUGGAGCGGCCGAUGUCGGAUUAGCUAGUUGGUGGGGUAAAGGCCUACCAAGGAGAGGAUCCGUAGCUGGUCUGAGAGGACGACCAGCCACACUGGGACUGAGACACGGCCCAGACUCCUACGGGAGGCAGCAGUGGGGAAUUUUGGACGAUGGGCGCAAGCCUGAUCCAGCAAUGCCGCGUGCGGGAAGAAGGCCUUCGGGUUGUAAACCGCUUUUGGCAGGAACGAAACGGUGUCCGCUAAUACCGGGCGCUAAUGACGGUACCUGCAGAAUAAGCACCGGCUCCCUACGUU
rnacentral:rRNA from 1 species